rnacentral:guide_RNA from 1 species
ACAUAAUAAACAAUGAGAUAUAUAAGGUGAAUCGAAAGUGAAAU